rnacentral:rRNA from 1 species
GACAGAGGGUGCAAACGUUGUUCGGAUUUACUGGGCGUAAAGCGCGUGUAGGCGGCUUUGCAAGUCGGUUGUGAAAUCCCACGGCUCAACCGUGGAAGUGCAUCCGAAACUGCAUCGCUCGAGUCUCGGAGAGGAAGGUGGAAUGCUUGGUGUAGAGGUGAAAUUCGUAGAUAUCAAGCAGAACACCUGCGGCGAAGGCGGCCUUCUGGACGAUGACUGACGCUGAGACGCGAAAGCGUGGGGAGCAAACAGG